rnacentral:rRNA from 1 species
AGCGAACGCUGGCGGCAGGCCUAACACAUGCAAGUCGAACGGUGAACGAGGGAGCUUGCUCCCUCCGGAUCAGUGGCGAACGGGUGAGUAACACGUGAGCAAUCUGCCCUGGACUCUGGGAUAAGCGUUGGAAACGACGUCUAAUACCGGAUACGAGGCGUGGGGGCAUCCCCAACGCCUGGAAAGAACUUCGGUCCAGGAUGAGCUCGCGGCCUAUCAGCUAGUUGGUGAGGUAACGGCUCACCAAGGCGACGACGGGUAGCCGGCCUGAGAGGGUGACCGGCCACACUGGGACUGAGACACGGCCCAGACUCCUACGGGAGGCAGCAGUGGGGAAUAUUGCACAAUGGGCGCAAGCCUGAUGCAGCAACGCCGCGUGAGGGACGACGGCCUUCGGGUUGUAAACCUCUUUUAGCAGGGAAGAAGCGAAAGUGACGGUACCUGCAGAAAAAGCACCGGCUAACUACGUGCCAGCAGCCGCGGUAAUAC